GAAAGCUUAUCGGUCUGGCCUCUGUUUCUGCUAGACAGACCUACCAGCAAGAUCAGCAAGGAAAUGGAAAUGCUGCAUGAAGAUAUUUAGAUAAUAAUUCUCCAAAAAUGGAACCACAUCUGUCUCCUGAUUUAGUAAUGGGUACUUCGAGAGACCAAUGAAUGUUAUACCAAUUACCACAACAGCAACACCAGUAAACAUCACACUCACUGACUGCCAGUACUUAAGAGUCAUUACCUUAUUCUUCUGCAGUGCUUACAAGGUGGAAGAGGAAUAAACAAUAAGCACAAACGGGACGUCUAAUAGUGGAUGGAGCCCAAGAUCUUGGAGAAGCGAGUGUUUCUGACGGGUUCAAGUUUCAUGCACUCAGCAUGCCUUCAUCAGUUUCUACAACUUUCACCUUUGUGCAUCCGCUACCAGCCUUUGUCUUCUGGCAUGAUUUGCACCCAGACUUAUCCAGCAUUGCGAUGUAACCCUCCUCAAAUCAUAGAGUCGAUGACAAAGAACGAGGUGAAAAAUAAAACAUUUAAGAUCCAAAGGUCAGAGCAGAGUUUUCUAAGAUGGCAGUCUACAUGUCACAAAAACUUUGCAUAAGAGUAAUUUCACAAAUGUGAAAUACGUUUUCUCAAUGCCACACCACACCUCACUCCCCAAGUUCAUGCCAGUUCAUAAUGCUCGUUUCACGCUUUGCACGGCUUUAUAAGUUCUUUCUCGGUAAGAAAGAGAAACCGCCCCACCUCCUUCCCUUUUCUUAUGAAAUAUAUUUUACACAGUGACUGACAUGACUGUGAAUGCAGAUUGUAUGGAAAAUAAUGCCUGUAAUUUCUGACUGCUACCUUCACUCAGAGCUGGAUAUAGGGAGCGUUUAGACAUAGCUGGAAAAAAUGUGUUCGGUACUACUUUUUCUUUUUCAGAAAAUGGUUGAUGGGUGGGAAUUCAAAGUUUAUUCUAGAAUGCAGAUCUAUUCAAAAUGGACCUUUGACAGACCAUUCCCUCAGACCCUCUUCAUAUUCACCGCUAAUCCCCUUUUCUCUUUUAUAACAACAAUCAUACAUAUUCUCCUCAUUUCCUGCCCCUACUACCUCAAUUCUUUUUAGACGUUUUGAUGCCAAAGUAUUCUUCAUUUUCUUGCUCACUAGGAACAAAUUAAAUCAGUCUGAGGACUGGGAUACUUGGCCAUUCUAGGUUCCUAUGCAAUGGAUUGAAAAAAAAUCCAUGUAAUGAACUCUGAUUGGAUUUAUUUUUGGAUUCUAGUUUUUAAAUUACACUGGAGACACCACGAGUCAACUUAUUAUGCCUAGGGCUUUAUGUUAGAACUUGAAGGUCAGGGGUUGGAGGCUGUGUCUUCUGGUCACCAACAUCACUCCCAACAUUUAUUCUCUAGUUUAGCGGCUCCCAAAGUGGCGACAUACCAGAAUCAAUUGAGGAGUUAAAAAUAGACUUUCUGAUACAACUCAGACAUAAAGAAUCUGACUUUCUGGAGUUAGAGCCUAGGAGUCUGAUUUUCUUUUUUCCUGUUUUGUUUUUGUUUUUCACAAGCUCCCUGAGUGAUUCUCACGCAGCCACCAAGGACCCACUUACCCAAGACGUUUGGGAAGUGCUUCUCUGGUCUGGUGAUUCUCAAGCUUGUGGACCACACUUUGAGAACCACAGCUCUAAUCCAGGUUACUUGUGCACAUGUUUAUUAUUCAUUCACUAGCUUUUCUCUUAUGUGGCCAAGGACCGCGGUUCAGAGGAAGGAAUAAUCCCCUCAGGUCAAGGGUAACACACCUGGCUGAGCAUCACAAUCACCUGAGAGCUUUUAAAAAAAACAUUUAACAUUUAAUUAUUGGGGUUAGGCUUGUGCUUCACCCCAGUCUACUCAAUCAACAUCUCCAGGAAGCCCUGGGAAUUUUUGGAAUUUUUUUGUUUUGAAGGUACCCAGAAGGUUCUGAUUUAUUACAAGGAUUUGAAAACAUUGCCUUAGAUGAGCCAGACUUGUAAGUUCAUGAAUAACUUAUACUAAAAUAUUAUUCGUUAUCUGAAAUUCAGAUUGAAUUGGGCAGCCCAUAUUCCUAUUUGUAAAUGUGGCACCCCUACUCCCUAGGCUAUCUCUGCCAAGAGUUUCUUUCCUCUCUGCAUUCUCACUUUUGCUUAACAUAGGCCUAUUUUAUUUUUAUUUUUUUGUGUGAGGAAGAUUUGCCCUGAGCUAACAUCUCUUGCCAAUUCUUCUCUUUUUUUGCUUGAGGAAGAUAAGCCCUGAGCUAACAUCUGUGCCAGUCUUCCCCUACUUUGUAUGUGGGACGCCUCCACAGCAUGGCUGAUGAGUGGAGUAGGUUCACACCAGGGAUCUGAACCCAUGAACCUCGGGCCAGGUGCACAGAACUUUAACCACUCAGCCACAGGCCGACCCCAACAUAGCCCAUUUUAAAUGCUUGAGGGAAUGGAGGUAAGCAGUGAAAUCCAUGCAAACAUGAUAUGUGGGGUGAAGAAGAGAAAAUUAAGAUGUUUCCUCAGGAAAGAAAGAAAAAAACACAAACAAAGGAAAAUCCAUUAAUCUAGACAGCAAAAACAAAAUCAGAAAAAAAAAACCAAACCUAAUGGUUUUUUACCAAUUUGUCAAUUACACAGUCAAAAGAAACCCUGGGGACUAAAAACACAGCAAAGAUGCUAUUAAAAUGUUUCAAGUGAAGCCAUAUAUAAUUAAUUUCAAACAAGCGUAACCUAUGAAAACUCAAAUACUUCAAGGUGCUGAGUGAAAGGCAGGAUAACUCUACAUCAGGCUUCAAAACUGAUGCUUCCAGGUGAGUCUAUGGUUGGGCCAGAGACAGGGAGAUAAUGACGUCUAUCCCCUCCCUGUUUUAUUAGAAGCUAAACAGCCUUAAGAUGAAAUGCUUUCAGUGUGUUAAAGAUGAGAAGAAACAAGCAUACUGCCCAGCACCUGUAGCACUAACCACAAAGAGACUGAGUCUAACGAGUGGAGCAAACAAUCAAAACAGAGAAGAAAAAUUCACUGAUGCAGAAGACAAAGAAAAGAAGGGAAGUGAUCUGGUAAACCAUUGCACAGGUGAGUAACCACCAUUAGCACGGUGGUACCUGCAAAGCAAGCAGCUUUCUCCCAAUGCAGUUUUCCCAUUUCAUGGGCAAGGGAUCAGCAAACUUUUCCUGUAAAGGGCAAGAAAGUAAAUCUUUUAGACUGUGUAGGCCAUACACUCUCUGCUGCAUCUACUUGUCCUUGCUGCUGUAGCCUGAAAGCAGCCAUAGACCAUAUGUAAAUGAACAGACAUGGCUGUGUUCUAAUAAAACUUUAUUCACAAAAAUAGGUGGUAGCUAU
rnacentral:lncRNA from 1 species